rnacentral:lncRNA from 1 species
CAUUAUUUUUUAUGCCCUAUCAUAUGGAAAAUACUGAUUUAUGAUUGCUACCCUGUAAAGAUAGAUAUGGUUGCAUUACAUUAUCUGCUCAAACCAAUGUAUGUCUAAGUAGGUAAGCGAGAUUUGAUUUUUACUGAUAGUAAACCCAUUUCACUAAUGAAAUUGUUGGAUGCAAUACACGUGAUGGUUUUCUGUUCGGUUUUCUAGCAACACAAGCAUUUCCAAAUUUGUCGAAAUUGCAGUCCCUUUUAAAUAUCACUUUGCAAAACAGACAUGCCUUUUGGUGAAAUGGUUAUAUCCUCUUCAGUUCUCUGGCUUCAUCAGGUAUUUGGACCAAUUUUCUCUCUUUUACUAUUCUUUGGGGUGCAUUUCCAACUUGUUUGUACGGUAUAUAGAAUAACAUCAUGGCAUAUGGUUGCAGAAGCCUCAUUGAUACAAGAACUUUUUCCUCCUCCAAGCAGCAUAUGUCGUUCACUAUGGCUUUGAAGGUGCCACAAGCGGUCUAACACGCUUUUGGUAAUUGUUUCAACUUUUCUGAGAUGACUAUACAUCAUGCUAUUGGAUAUUUGUUUUGUGAUUUCUCAUCAUUCGAAGAUUUCUCCAUUUGCUUAUGUCAAAGUCUCGACUUCUUUCUAUAUUUCUUCUUUUAUAGUUAUCAUUUAAUUUAAGCUCUUCCGUGCUAGUUAGGGAUGGCAGUGGGGGCGGGUUCAGAGCGGGGCAGGGCGAUCGCCCCGCCGCAUUUGUUGCCCCGUUUAUUUUUUUAUUAUUUAUUUUAAAUUUUAAAUUAUGUUAUUAUUAGAGAAUAAAAUAUAAAUCCAAAAUUUUAAAAUUCAAAGUAAACACUUGAAAUAAACAAUAUUAAAUAUUAAACAAUUUCAAAUAAAAUUACGUUUUGACUAAAUUUUUUUUCUUUUGUAAUUAAUUAAAAUUUUACAUUUGUAUUUUAUUAUCUAAUAAUAAUAUAACUUGAAAUUUAAAAAAAAAAAUCAUGGGGCGGGGCACCCCCGUCCCGCCAACCCAUCGGGCCGGGUUUUUUUGCCCUAUUCGGGAUGGGGCCCUGCCGGGGCGGGGAGGGGCGGGUUUUUUUUGCCAUUAUUAGUGCUCGUAUGCUACCGUGAUUACCUUAUAGUAGCCAUGUAAAGACAAAAUCCGUAUAUUGACUAUUUUGUAUUCGCUUGUGGAAAGGAGAAUAUAUUUUGCACGUACAAAUUGGUUUAAAAUUCAACUCCUAAUGUUCCUUCUAAUUGUCCAACUUUGCUACAAGUUGCUUCGUUAUUCAAAUUAGUUUAAAACAUUAAUAUGUCCUCCCAUUUAUUUGACUUAACUAUGAUGCCAUACGGAUAUAUCUUCUUUUUUAUAGAUAUAUUCUUUUCUACAAAAAGCAUCACUCCAUCUUUUUGCAUUUCAUACUGCUAUUUUGGGUCAUUCAUCAGCUAAGAGUAUAUGAAGCUAAUCUAUCCACAAGCAUUUUACAUUAUUUCAUUAGGCGUAAGCUUAUUUUAAUUCUGUGUAUAUCUGAUCCCAUGUUCGAAUCAGUCUGUGUGGUUUCAUAGUUAAAAACUUCUAUGACUAAAAUAUCAAAUAUGUGCCAUAGUUCAUGUGCACAUAAAUACCUCCCUUCCUUAAAUAAUCUCACAUACAACGACAUUUAGGAAUAUGUGAUUAAGAGUGAAUUGAACGAUGAAUUUCAUUUAUAAAGUGUAUGUCAUACUACAGAUUAGUAAUUGCCUAAGAUUUAAAUGAAAACUUAACUUUUAGAAUAAUUCCAUUACUAUUCGAAACAUUAACACUAAUGGGAUUGCUUUCGCCCAUCACUGACAGAAUGUCCCUCUCAGUGAUUCGAUUUCUAAUGAGUGUCACCACACAUUUGUCACUCGUGAAAACUAUCAUUGUGGCCCAAAUUUUUCUUCCUUUAGAUGUAAUCAAUGAUAUUGGUAGGUUAAAUAUGGACCUCAAUAUUGCAGCAAAUAAAUUGGAGCAGAAGAUAAAUGAAAACACAAACAAAACUCAACGAAUUUUCAAUAUAUAUUCAGUAUGAUUAUGUAUACCUUGAAUGGAUUUUAAUUUACUUCAACUAAUUCAUUCAUCAUAUGAUUAUGUAUACCUUGAAUGAAUUUUAAUUUACUUCAACUAAUUCAUUCAUCAUUUAAUUUCAAUAACCAAAGGCAUUGUUUCAGGAGAUCAGCACUUAGUACUGUUGCUGCAGUGAUGCUGCUUAUAUAGUUAUAUUUCUUCUGGACCUCAGUAUGCGUUCUUAGACAUCUCAUAUUCUUUAACUGGAAUUAUGCGUUUUCUAUUGCUCAUUGGGUAGUUUUUAGGCACAUUUCUGUUUUGUUCUCCCUGUUUAGUCCUCUUACAUGUUUCUACACAAAUUAGCAUAAUCAAUUUUUAUUCAUUCUUGUUGCUAACUUUAUUGAUGACUAAGUUUAGUUAACCGAAAUUGUAAGUUUACUGCCUUUGAUUGUACUUUUUGGUGCAAAUUUCAUGAAGAAGUUGAAACUUUGAAGUAAAAAACAAGUUCUUU